UACAGAGGGUGCUAGCGUUGUUCGGAAUUAUUGGGCGUAAAGCGCUUGUAGGCGGCUUGUUAAGUUCCGUGUGAAAUCCCCAGGCUUAACCUGGGAAGUGCGCGGAAAACUGGCGAGCUUGAAUGCCGGAGAGGGUCGCGGAAUUCCCGGUGUAGAGGUGAAAUUCGUAGAUAUCGGGAGGAACACCAGUGGCGAAGGCGGCGACCUGGACGGAC
rnacentral:rRNA from 1 species